GGAAAGGUGGCCGAGUGGUUGAAGGUAUGGCACUGGAAAUGCUAUGUAGAUUUAGAGCUACCGAGGGUUCGAAUCCCUCCCUUUCCC
rnacentral:tRNA from 2 species